rnacentral:rRNA from 1 species
UACGUAGGGUGCGAGCGUUAAUCGGAAUUACUGGGCGUAAAGCGUGCGCAGGCGGCUCUGCAAGACAGAUGUGAAAUCCCCGGGCUCAACCUGGGAACUGCAUUUGUGACUGCAAGGCUAGAGUACGGCAGAGGGGGAUGGAAUUCCGCGUGUAGCAGUGAAAUGCGUAGAUAUGCGGAGGAACACCAAUGGCGAAGGCAAUCCCCUGGGCCUGUACUGACGCUCAUGCACGAAAGCGUGGGGAGCAAACAGG